GUUAAAGCAAGCAUGUGUCACUAUAUAGGAUGUGAUACCCACAGACCCAAGUACCAGCAGACCCUGUGUCAGCAGUGUCUACCCCAAGUGACAUCAUCAAGAUGACAGUAGGAAACGAGGCUGGAAGCCAACCUUGGGCUGCUGGCUCUGCAUACCUUAGUAGACUCUGUCCCUGGCCCUUGAUGAGUGACUGAUGGCACAUCUGAUUGGGAUUAGCAAGUAUUAAAGACAUUUAAGAUGAGAAGUCAGAGUGGGCUUUAGCAACUCGGAAAUGUGAAGGGGUCCGUGGUCCCUGCCGGCCUUUAUGCUCACGCUUGAGAAGGCCCGAGUGUACCUCCUCACCAGCGGGCUUUAGAAGCCCUGGGAGAGCAGACUGGAAUGAGACCACCAGCGGUGUAGCAGGUCGAGAUGUGGCUGGCUGUGUCCUGUCCAUCUGUUUGGCCUCCUGGGAAGAAAGCGUUGGCUCAAUUUCUUUCUCAGGAGAGAUGAAGUCAGCACAGAUGGUUCUCACGUGCUACUGUCCUGCCCUCCACUGUUGACACUGGGACUGGCUUGGCAUCACACCCUCCUGUUUGUGAAGCACAGACUCACUGGCCUCCCUCCAGGUCCUUGAAGAAGGGUCAGAGCAAGGAUAUGUUGCUCCACAGGAUGUGACACCCACAGGCCUAAGUCCCAGCAGACCCUGUGUCAGCAGUCGGUCACUCAAGUCUGCCUCACCUCCUGCCUGAAGAGGCCAGAGCCAUGGAAAAGGAGAAAGAAGGAUAAGGCUGUACCACAGGCCUGUCGGGCACCCACUGUCACUGCCAGUCUCAGAGAUUUUGUUUAAAGAUUUGUUCUUUCCUGUGAACCAAGAGAACGUUCAGGGAAAAAGAAUAUAUGCUUCACCUGGGGAUCCUUCCGAACAAAAUGGCUGUCUGAACUCUUUUUAAACAGAAACUUUCCAAACUUUUUAGUGUCAAAAUUGUAACCAAGUGUCUCCUGAUUCUUCCCAAUGUGUUUGGCAAGUGCUGUGACCCUGUUGUAGGUAUUUCUCCUCCUGCCUCUUCUGAGGGAGAAGUGACUUUAGGGGUUGACUUGAGGGAGCAGGUAUCUGUCCCGUCCUGCCACCUCUCUUGUAUCUCUGCUUGUUGAUAUUGUCUGUGUGAUUCAGAGAACGGGGCAGUUACAUUGUGUCCAUUGUUGAGAAUAUUAAAAUAUUAAAAAAGUAGUUAUAGAACUAAAAAAUUAAAGAGCUGUGUUUUAAAAGAUGCAAACCCAUAAAUAUGUUAACAAAGGGAUUCAAGCUAUGGGCAGCCUAGCUCCUCCCCCUCCAGGUUGGUGCGGUGGUAGCCAGGCCAGCCCUUGGGAGACACACUGACCACACCUGAGUUAGGUGACUGCCUGGGAACAGGACACCUGCCCAGUGGUGCAGUGAGAAUCUGGGGCUCGCUCAGAGACUCUCCGUUGUGUCAGGGUUUUCUCUACAUCCUCAGGACCUCUGGGUAGAGGCGUUAAAGUUGGUGACCCCAGAACCACCCUCACCCUCACAUUGGAUCAAGCCUCGUGUGCCUAGUGCUAUGUUGUAACCUGGGCUUGAGCCUGGAGCUCCUGCUUGCAAGGCCACAGGACCUCUUCCUGCCCACUUGGUGCUAUCUCAUCAUAACCAUCUAACAGGGCAGCCUGGUCUCCUGGAGCCUGGGGGCCAGGGGCCGUGGGUGGCCCUCGGAGCUCAGCUCUCUCUGGCUCCUGAUCUUAGAUUUUUCCUUUUGAAGCUUUUUAGACCCAAACUCCCUUGGCUUCAGAGAUGUCCGAGUCAGGGAGGGAAGUGAGCCAGGCUGAGGUGAGGAGAUCCACCACUCUGCCACAGUAAGCACACUAGUCCAGCCCCUCUUCCCUGCCACACCAGUAUUACAUCCAUCCUUUAAAGAUCUAGUCCCACCUGAGGCACACGUCAUCCCUCGGCCCAGCUGCCCCCAGUGCAGACUAGAAACCCGGGAUGGACACACUGACGUUUCUUUGCACCCCUACUUUAGAAGAGGCAUGUUGCACUUUAGUGGGGAGCCCAGAACACUGGGCACUGGCUUCCUAUAGCUUGAGUCCCUGUAGAUAGCAGUGAUGGCAGCCUGGUGGUUUGUGUGAAGCAGCUGCAACUGCUGUCUUCAACUGCACACAUGUGCAGUUCUAGAGUCAAAUUCUGGCCUGGUGAUGACAUUACAAAGACGCGAUCGGUUCAACUUUGCCUUGGUAAUUAUUGUAAACACUUUGUUCAACUUUUUUCUUUUUUAUUCACAAACUAAAUCCAUCAGGAAAUUAUAAACUUAUUUAAAAACUG
rnacentral:lncRNA from 1 species